rnacentral:rRNA from 1 species
UACGUAGGGUGCAAGCGUUGUCCGGAAUUAUUGGGCGUAAAGAGCUCGUGGCGGUUCGUCACGUCGGCUGUGAAAUCCCGAGGCUCAACCUCGGGUCUGCAGUCGAUACGGGCGGACUGGAGUACUGCAGGGGAGACUGGAAUUCCUGGUGUAGCGGUGAAAUGCGCAGAUAUCAGGAGGAACACCGGUGGCGAAGGCGGGUCUCUGGGCAGUAACUGACGCUGAGGAGCGAAAGCGUGGGGAGCGAACAGG